AACGCAGCGAAGGGCGAUAAGUAAUGUGAAUUGCAGAAUUCCGUGAAUCAUCAAAUCUUUGAACGCACAUUGCGCCUUCCGGUAAUCCGGAAGGCAUGCCUGUCUGAGCGUCAUUACACCAUUCAAAACCUCUCUUUUAUUAGAAGUGGAUUGGUUUUGGAAGCAAACGUUUGGUUUUACUACUAGUGUUUCUUCUGUAAUGCAUCAAUCAGCAUUUACUGUUCCUUAGUUGUAGCAAGCAUUUUCUCAACUUCAAGGUGGCAGCUGAUGUUAUACUUUUGAUUGUUAAUAGUCCUUUGGGAUUGUUCUCUUUUAAGUUUGACCUCAGAUCAGGUAGGAAUACCCGCUGAACUUAA
rnacentral:rRNA from 1 species